AAAACACAUAACCGGCUAGAUAACCAGCUUGGUUAAUCGCGGGCUGAAUCAAAUCACGGGCUUCUAAUUUCAUCAUAUGCCCUCAAAUUAUGGUACUGUAAGUGAAUGUCUUCGGGAUACAUGCUAUGCUCUGGGUGUUUAAUUUCAAAUUUCAAAUUCAACAUCUUUCUUCUUCAUCAAAGUGUUCUUCUGUAGACUCAUGGUUUGGUUUUUUACAAAAGACGGAUGUAGUAUGGAUGUAGACCGGAGAGCGGUGGGAAUGGCUAUUGAAGUUUGUGAGUCCGGCUUAUGACCUGAUUUCCAGAGGCGCCACUGAAUUGAUGCCGGUUUUUUUCCCAUUUUAGUCGUUGAUGCGUUAGAUUACGGGUGUCAGUGAUCAAGAUUUUUGCAAAUCACAUGGUUGGGGAAAGAGUUCGCUUAGUUGUACUCACUGAUCAUCAUCGUACGAACGUAGCUCGCAAUGUGAAUUUAGAAAGGCUGCAAAGGAACUAUCUGUUCCCUGAGGCAGUGAAGUUUUUGUACUUCAAUCAGUCUAGGGGCUUCGAUAAAAUCAAGGCUUCAAUUUUCGUUUAAAGGUAAAUCCUUUUUCAUCUUUAGGAUUGUGUGUAUAUCUGUGUCUUAGUUUUAGUUUUGUUGUUGAUAAUUUCUCAGUAUCGAUAUUGUAUGUUGAUGCAUUUGUAAGUUUUUAUUGGAUGUGCACUUUUCCAGAGGGCUAAUUCAAGUCAGAUUCUCAUUUGAGAAAAUUAAUUCUUUUCUGCUUGAGGAUGCACUGAUAAGAAAUGAAAAUGCAAGGAAAACAUGGGACUCAAAAGUCAAAACUGUGGACUACAAUACUGAAUGACAAUAUCAGUUGGGACCCUGAUUCAGGUAUGUAGGUAUUGCUGACUUAAAAUUGCGGAUUGGGUUUGGUGGUUAUUUCUUAUGGGAUCUAGAAUAUAUUGCAUUGUUUUCAGAAAUAUGAUCAUUGGCCAGUCAACAGAGGUUAUGUCAACAGACUCAACACACAUUAUUAUUUCGAAUCUGACCUUUCUUAAUUCAACUUUCUGGAACAUCCACUGUGUAAUGUAGGUAAUUACAUAUUACAAGUUUGGAAUCAUGGAUCUACAUUCUAGCCUUGCCUCUGUCCAUUACAAGUUUGGAAUCAAUGACUUGAGGAUAUCAUUCAAAAUAUAUUAAUUGUUUGAUAAGCCAACCUAUGAUAUGCUUUUCUCUGAAGCUCCCAAGUUCAAGCUUAUCAUUCCUUCCAUCCUUUAUGAUCGUUUGAGGGAAAGGGCAGGCAAUUCCAUAUUUGUUCUAUACGACAGUCUGCAGGUAUACUGUGAUUAUGACAUGCAUCAGUGCACUUCUACAUAAAAAAAAUAGUUAUUAAUAGGGUACUCAUCUAUCAAGGAAGAUGUACACGAGCUUGAUGCAAUAACCAUUUCAAGCAUUAAUCCUGCCUUCUUUGAUAUAGGAUUUAAUGUAUAUUUAUACAUCUAAUGUGUUUCAUGAGUUACUGGGGUACAUAAGUACAUUUAUGGUCAAGCUGAUCAAGUUCAAUUUAUAUUUAUUGAUCAAGUUCAAGUUUACAAUUUAACUAAUUGUUUUAUUCGAUCACAUUUUAUGUAAUUUACUUUGAUUUUUGCGGAAACAAAUAAAUGUUUCAUACAUUUAAACUCCUGGGCAGUAAAUUUCAUACAUUUAUUUAUAACUAUUACAUUUGUAAUUAUUUCUUUCUGGCAAUUACUAACCAAUUUUUUUUACAGGAAACAAUACUAUUCUGCAAACGCAAUUAAUAUAAUUAUGAGUCCACUUGAAGCUUAAUCAGCGUAUCUGUCUUCUGCACCAUUAAUUUGUGGCUUAUUGCAUGUUUUUCUGGAUCAGUACUAAAUUUAUUUUAAAAAAAUCGCAGGAGCUGGCAGGAGACAAGAUGCAUGCGGCCUAUCAUCCCACAUACUUAAUGAAAGAAAUGAUCCAGAAUGGAUGCAGAAUCUGACAACAAAGGAUCUGCAAAUCCUGCUGAAACUCCUGAUAUUGUGUUACCUUCUUCUACAAACCCUAAACAAAGUGUAAGCAAAAGGCCAGCUCAGGAAGAAUCAGAAACUGAAAAUGCAGCAAAAAAAUCUGACCCUAAUGAAAUUGCAGACGGUGCAUCGGGAUCUCUUUCAACUAAGUGUUUUUGGUUCUCUCACAAAAGGAAAAGGUGCAAUCCUGAGAAGGUGACACUGAUGCUGAUUCAAAAGAUACUUUUCUCUUAUAGAAGUGAAUCAUACUCAGGGUUGUCUAGGAGCUAUUGGUCACAAAACCUCACUAAAAUUGAGUUGCAUGAAUCCAAAACCUAUGUAUGAGGUAUAAGUUUUACCAAGGCACAGAAAAUAUCAGCUUUGUUGUGAUAUGUGUGAGCCAGCCUGUCAAUAGCCUUAACUGCAAUGGCCUUGGCAGCAGCCAUUCAUAAGGCAAUAGAAUCAGAUACCUCCAAGAUGCAGCCAUGGCAUUGGUAAUUAUUCUGGUGGCAAGCUCAAUGUGCAAGGACUGCAGAGGCAAAGGGGGCCAAGAAAGACCAAAAAAAUUAAAGGAUCAAAGUAUCACGGACAUCCCUGAAGUCUUUUCUCAUGAAGCUGUUUUCACCGGAAUGAGAUGGUUAGCAGUAGCAAUUUAAAAUUUGUAGAUACUCAAUAAGUUAAUUUGUUGGAGGUAUUGCAGAUGGUAUGUGUAAGUGCAUCUGAAAGGUACAAGUGACAGGCUGAUAGCAGUAGUGUCUGAAGCAUGUUUUCAGACAUAGUUGCUUUUGUUUGGCAACAUAUUCUAAACAAGAGUAAAUCUGGGUCUUUUUAUUUUACUUUAAAUAAUACUGUGAAUUUGUUUUAAUGUUUUU